rnacentral:rRNA from 1 species
GAUGAACGCUGGCGGCGUGCCUAAUACAUGCAAGUCGAGCGAAUGGAUUAAGAGCUUGCUCUUAUGAAGUUAGCGGCGGACGGGUGAGUAACACGUGGGUAACCUGCCCAUAAGACUGGGAUAACUCCGGGAAACCGGGGCUAAUACCGGAUAACAUUUUGAACCGCAUGGUUCGAAAUUGAAAGGCGGCUUCGGCUGUCACUUAUGGAUGGACCCGCGUCGCAUUAGCUAGUUGGUGAGGUAACGGCUCACCAAGGCAACGAUGCGUAGCCGCCAGGAGAGGGUGAGCGGCCACACUGGGACUGGGCACCGGCCCAGACGCCUACGGGAGGCAGCAGUAGGGAAUCUUCCGCAAUGGACGAAAGUCUGACGGAGCAACGCCGCGUGAGUGAUGAAGGCUUUCGGGUCGUAAAACUCUGUUGUUAGGGAAGAACAAGUGCUAGUUGAAUAAGCUGGCACCUUGACGGUACCUAACCAGAAAGCCACGGCUAACUACGUGCCAGCCGCCGCAGUAA